AAGAUGUGCUGAUAUAGCUCAGUUGGUAGAGCCCACCCUUGGUAAGGGUGAGGUCGGCAGUUCCAAUCUGCCUAUCAGCACCACUU
rnacentral:tRNA from 1 species